AGACUCCCACAGGCUGCAGCUUUAUAAAGCAGUGCUCAGUGAAGGGAGAGUUUAUCAGGAACCAGGCACAGGGACAGGAGCACACACCAUGAUUUCACACAUCCAGCUGAUCUGGCCUCUGGCAUUCUGCGUCGCAGGUAUCAGUGGGGACAUCAUCAUGAACCAGUCUCCCCCGGUGCUGUCAGUGGGACUGGGCCAGACCGCAACCAUCACCUGUAAGUCCAGUCAGGGUGCCAGUGCUGAUGUUUCCUGGUACCAGCAGCGAGAAGGACAGAAACCCUCUCUCCUGAUCUAUUAUGCAACAAAUCGAUUCACAGGAGUCUCCGAGCGAUUCACCGGAAAAGAACUGUCCAGCACACACUUCACCCUGACAAUCAGCAAUGUUCAGAAUGAGGAUGUCGCUGACUAUUACUGUCAGCAAACUGAGAGCUACCCUCUUACAUUCGGUAAAGGAACCAAGCUCAGACUGAGCCGUGAGAGGUCUCAGCCCAAGCUGACCCUGCUGCCCCCCUCCCCGGAGCAGGUCCAGACCAAGGGCACUGCCACCCUGGUGUGCCUUGCCAAUCACUUCUAUCCUGAUGAGCUGGAGGUGCAGUGGAAGAAGGAUGGUGCAGUCAUUUCGGACGGGAUUCAGACCAGCAACUAUCUACGAGCUUCGGACAGCACCUACAGUGUCAGCAGCCUGCUGACCCUCUCUGGCUCUGACUGGGAGUCCAAUGCUCGCUUCUCCUGUGCCCUCACCCAUGUCACCCUCUCUUCUCCCCUCAGCAAGAGCAUCAGGAGAUCAGAGUGUGUGUAGUUGUUUGAGACAGUCCACAGAGGAGACACAACUUUAAAUAGAACAGGGCUGAGCUGGCUGGACAAAUGUCAUUGUCAGCACGGAAUUUCAACUCUCUUCCUUCUCGGGACUGGCUCGGAGACACUUCUGAGGUUCAGGGGUUAAGGCAGGGCAUUGGGACAGUGUAGAGAGAGCUUCACUCUGUAUCUAACCCCAUCCUGUACCUGUCCUGGGAGUGUUUGAUGGGGAUAGUGUUGACUUGAGAUAACAAGUAAAAGCUCUCAAAGAUGCUGAAGACUGUCAGCUGUACAAAUACAAUGUGAACCUCAGAAGUCUCUACUUCAGUAAACCAGACCUCCUUCCUGCUCAGCCGCCAGUUCCAAUUUAAGGUUUUGUCACUGUUUAAAGGGACAGGAUUCUCAUGUUAUUGAGAAAAUCUUCAUAAGUAUUUUCCUCAAGCUCCAUUCUGGCUGUGAAUUUGUGCAGCUUCCUCUCUCUGGGCUGUUAAUUGCAGUGUUUUUUCUGUCAAAGUCAAUCUGGAAAAGGGAAUAAAGAUGAAGAAGAUUUA